UCAUAUUUACAUUUUUCGACAAUCACUUAUACUUGUCACUGAACUACUUAUCAUUGUAUAUGUCAGUAUCACUUAUACUUGUCACUGAACUACUUAUCAUUGUAUAUGUCAGUAUCACUUUUACUUUGUUUUGUUCACUUAUCACUUUUCAGUUGCACUUUCAUUCUCAGUUGCAUUUUUAUUAAAGUUUAUAAUUUCUAUUUUUUCAUCUUUUAAGAGUUUCAUCGUGUGAUACUG
rnacentral:lncRNA from 1 species